rnacentral:rRNA from 1 species
GACGAACGCUGGCGGCGUGCUUAACACAUGCAAGUCGAACGGGUCUGCCCUGUUUUUUGCGGGGUGGGUCAGUGGCGAACGGGUGAGUAACACGUGAGUAACCUGCCCCUCACUUCUGGAUAACCGCUUGAAAGGGUGGCUAAUACGGGGUGUUCUGGCUGUGCCGCAUGGUGUGGCUGGGAAAGAUUCACUUUUGUGGUGUUUUGGUGGGGGAUGGGCUCGCGGCCUAUCAGCUUGUUGGUGGGGUGAUGGCCUGCCAAGGCUUUGACGGGUAGCCGGCCUGAGAGGGUGGGCGGUCACACUGGGACUGAGAUACGGCCCAGACUCCUGCGGGAGGCAGCAGUGGGGGGUAUUGCACAAUGGGCGGAAGCCUGAUGCAGCGACGUCGCGUGAGGGAUGGAGGCCUUCGGGUUGUGAACCUCUUUCGCCGGUGAAGAAGGUCCUGCUCUUUGUGGUGGGGUUGACGGUAGCCGGGCGAUGAAGCGCCGGCUAACUACGUG